rnacentral:rRNA from 2 species
GAUGAACGCUGGCGGCGUGCCUAAUACAUGCAAGUCGAGCGAACAGAUAAGGAGCUUGCUCCUUUGACGUUAGCGGCGGACGGGUGAGUAACACGUGGAUAACCUACCUAUAAGACUGGGAUAACUUCGGGAAACCGGAGCUAAUACCGGAUAACAUAUUGAACCGCAUGGUUCAAUAGUGAAAGGCGGCUUUGCUGUCACUUAUAGAUGGAUCCGCGCCGUAUUAGCUAGUUGGUAAGGUAACGGCUUACCAAGGCAACGAUACGUAGCCGACCUGAGAGGGUGAUCGGCCACACUGGAACUGAGACACGGUCCAG